rnacentral:rRNA from 1 species
GAUCAUGGCUCAGGAUGAACGCUAGCUACAGGCUUAACACAUGCAAGUCGAGGGGCAGCAUUUUAGUUUGCUUGCAAACUGAAGAUGGCGACCGGCGCACGGGUGAGUAACACGUAUCCAACCUGCCGAUAACUCCGGGAUAGCCUUUCGAAAGAAAGAUUAAUACCGGAUGGCAUACGAAUAUCGCAUGAUGUUUUUAUUAAAGAAUUUCGGUUAUCGAUGGGGAUGCGUUCCAUUAG